AGGAAAACAACUUUCUGACAUCUUCACCAAAGAAUUUCCUAGAGAAAAUUUUUGCAAUCUUCGAGAACGCAUUUGAUUUAUCAAACAAAUACAUUAAGUAGGAUUGUUGAAAUUAAUGCAUCAAUGUUUAGUCUUCCGAAAUUGUCUCUUAGUUUUUCAAGAAUUCUUUUUAGAAUUUCGUCGUACAUGAAUCUAGUAAAUUGUGAUAUAUGUAUUUAGUUAUUUGUGCAAGA
rnacentral:misc_RNA from 1 species